rnacentral:lncRNA from 1 species
GGUUUCAACGUGAGAUUCCAGAGAUGUCUCUAAUGAUGAAUAAUUUUGGUUAAUAAUAAAUCUUGUUCAUAGGUUGCCGUACGUUCGUGUGGUUCAACUUCGUUUCUCGUUUCUUUUCUUUUUCUUCAUAUAAAUAAUAUCGUUAGUUUUCCUAUUGCAAUUAUUUACACUUAGUCAUUUUGGGCCAAUUAUGACUUGUUUUUCGAUGUGAGCCAUGACUCUGUGUUGAAGGCUGUACUUCAACAUUUUGGUGUUAAAAUUUUUAUAACCAGUCACUUAUAUACAGGAAUCUGAUGUACAGUAGUUGUCGUUUGUUUAUGAGGUUUAUACAUGUUUCUCAUUUCUCGUUUUUAAUAUAGAUUAGACCGUUGGUUUUCCCGUUUGAAUGGUUUUACAUUAGUAAUUUUGGGGCCUUGCAUAGCUUGUUUUUUGGUGUGAGCCAAUGCUCCGUUUUGA